AAAUACAUCAUUAAAAUUAAUUUUGUGCCCGAUCCUGUCUGAUCUUGGAAGCUAAGCAGGGUCGGGUCUGGUUGGUACUUGGAUGGGAGACCACCUAAGAAGACCAGGUGCUGUAGGUG
rnacentral:rRNA from 1 species